rnacentral:rRNA from 1 species
GACGAACGCUGGCGGCGUGCUUAACACAUGCAAGUCGAACGGACAGACAGAGAGCUUGCUCUCUUGAAGUUAGUGGCGAACGGGUGAGUAACGCGUAAUCAACCUGCCCUUCAGAGGGGGAUAACAACGGGAAACUGUUGCUAAUACCGCGUACGAUUCAUGAACGGCAUCGUUUAUGAAUGAAAGGUGGCCUCUAUGUAUAAGCUAUCGCUGAAGGAGGGGAUUGCGUCUGAUUAGCUAGUUGGAGGGGUAACGGCCGCCAAGGCAAUGAUCAGUAGCCGGUCUGAGAGGAUGAACGGCCACAUUGGGACUGAGACACAGCCCAAACUCCUACGGGAGGCAGCAGUGGGGAAUCUUCCGCAAUGGACGAAAGUCUGACGGAGCAACGCCGCGUGAGUGAUGUAGGUCUUCGGAUUGUAAAGCUCUGUUAAUCGGGACGAAAGAGUUCUGCGUGAAUAAUGCAGAAAAGUGACGGUACCGGAAUAGAAAGCCACGGCUAACUACGUGCCAGCCGCCGCAGUAA